rnacentral:lncRNA from 1 species
UGCCUGGUGAUCUUGGCUCCGUUCAGUGAAAUUAUUCUUUCCGAGGGUGGGGAGAGAAGGAGAGCUAAAGGGCCUCUGCUCCCCUGUGGCAGAAGUGUUAGUAGCCACUGAGCAGGGCCUGCAGGCUCAGGGAGGUGUGUUAGCCAGAUCUAUGACAUUCAUUGACCAGUUAGUGGUUUUUUUUCCUAGGGGAGCACAAACGUGUUAACACGAUCAGGAAGGUUUAAUCUCCAGACUAACUAGUCCUCAAAAAAGGCUUAGUGCAUCCUCAGCACAAUGUAGCACUUAAUGGCACGUAUGUAAUUAUGUUUUAUAAAGAUUUUAUAAGAAUGGUCUAAAUAAUAUUAAUGACGUGUGAAUAUAGGUGGCAAGACUAGAUUUAUGUUUCAGGCAAUUACAUUUUACAAGCUGAAGUAGAGAACAGAGGAGAAGAUAUUUCUCAUGCUGAGCUACAGGAAGUUGAUGCUGAAAUGCAAUAACAGCAGAUGUUACUGGGAUGCAGUCAUAAAAUGGAGGCAAACGGGCUCUUUGUGACCAGCUCAGGCCACAGCACCGGCGUAUUUCCAGACCUCAGCAUAAAUGUCUAGCGUACCAGUUCACCUUCAGAUCCUGACAAACUGCUGUGUGUCACACAGAGAACACACCUACCAAAUAUAA